rnacentral:lncRNA from 1 species
AUCUAGGGCCUAAGAUGGAGUUCAACAUGCAGGAAGCCCUGGGCUUGAGCCCCCAAACUACAUAAAUUGGGUAUGGUGACACAUAUCUCUGAUCCCAGAUCUUCAGGUGUGUGGGCAGGAUGAUCAGAAGUUCAAGGUCAUCCUUAGGUACAUAGGGAAUUCAAGGGCAGCUACAAGAGACUCUGUCCCCAAAAAGAAAAGCAAAACAACGCUCCAAGGUGCUAUAUCCCAAGAGUAGGCUAUGGACGAUGAGCUGCUGCUUCGGGAAUAACCAACAAGCAAGAAACUGCCUGCUGUGUUGGAUAUCUGCGAGCUCCAGAACCUCACCAGCUCUGCCAGGUGCUAUGGCCACAGAUAUGAAGGACUCACUUCCUGUUCCAUGCCCAUGUAGCUCCAGUAAAGUCUCAGCUGCACUGAACAAUCAAGACACUGUCAAGGAGCCAGAGUGAGAGAAGCCCUUCGUGUUUGUGCAAGACUCUCAUCCGCAACGUUCUGCAAGAGAAGUCAGCCCUCAGCCUGAAUGGCCUCCGCUGAAUACCUUUCAGACUUCUGAGGCAAAGUAUCAUAGGCCAGGCCUUUCUUGAUCUUCCAACUCUCUUACCCCUCUGCUGUCUGAGUGCUGGGGCAGUGGGCAUGUACCUCCAUGCCCAGCUACGAACUUAGAAUAAAAAAAACAAACUUGUUAGUAACCGUUGAGACUAAAGUCUAAAGUGAAUU